GUCAUUUUUAAGGUCACAAUUUAAACUCUGUCAAACUUACAAGCGUAAACAUCAGGGCCUCGCGGCCCCGUGCCAAUGUGUCAGAGCCCACGGCCAGCCCCCCAUAGGGAGCCAGUCGCAGGUCCAACUCGAGAUUUGUAAUGAUCCUUCCGCAGGUUCACCUACGGAAA
rnacentral:misc_RNA from 1 species